GAGAAAAUAACAGUUGUGUUGGUAAGAGCAUCUUUCCACCUGUUUCGCUCGCCCUCGUGUUUCCCUAGCCCCUAGAGAACAACACCAAUGGACCGGCUGGUUAUUUUGGGUUCUUCAUCUUUAUUCAUAAUUGAAUCUGUGCCCCAAUAAGGAUGUGAAAUUGAAGAAGACUCAUUCGGCGUAAUCCCCCUUGUUUGAGAUACUUAAUCAUUUAGACCUUUGUUCCACAUGGUUAAAUUGAGUUAGACAGUAGAACACGGUUCUCUCCACUCUGGUGUGUACAGUAAUGUGCACAGUUCCUUUCCAUAUCCCUGCUGCAUUCCUCACAUAGAGAAUGUGUCUCUCUUCACAUAAUAUCUCUGCCUUCAUUUAUGACAAUGUCUUGCUAAGCAAACCAUCAUGGCUGCCUGGUGCUGGUGCCACCAUAUCCUCUCUCACAGCCACAGCAUGGGGGACCAAUUAACCAGGACACACCGAGAGACGCCGCUCCUCGGUCCACUGCCCCGCUGGCUGGCUGACGCUGACUGACUGGCUAGGAGAGAAAAGCCCAGAAGCCUGUGUGUUUGAGCCGUGGAGCCUAGACCCAUACAGGACAAGAGAUAGGGGAAGGGGGGAGAGGAUGAGGCUGCUUGUAGCUGUUUGUUUAGGGGGUACUGUAACUCCAUCCCUGUGUGUCAUGCAUGCUAGUCCCUGCCCCAGUCCCUGUUUUCUCCCACUGCAGCCCCAGUCCCUGUUUUCUCCCACUACAGCCCCAGUCCCUGUUUUCUCCCACUGCAGCCCCAGUCCCUGUUUUCUUCCCACUACAGCCCCAGUCCUGUUUUCUCCCACUUACAGCCCCAUCCUGUUUUCUCCCACGCAGCCCCAGUCCCUGUUUUCUCCCACUGCAGCCCCUGUUUUCUCCCACUGCAGCCCCGUCCCUGUUUCUCACACUGCAGCCCCAGUCCCUGUUUUCUCCCACUGCAGCCCAGACCCUGUUUUCUCCCACUGCAGCCCAGUCCCGGUUUUCUCCCACUGCAGCCCAGACCCUGUUUUCUCCCACUGCAGCCCCAGUCCCUGUUUUCUCCCACUGCAGCCCCAGACCCUGUUCUCUCCCACGUAGCCCAGACCCUGUUUCUCCCACUGCAGCCCCAGACCCUGUUUUCUCCCACUACAGCCCCAGUCCCUGUUUUCUCCACUGCAGGCCCAGCCCUGUUUUCUCCCACUGCAGCCCAUACCCUUCUCCCACUGCAGCCCCAGUCCCUGUUUUCUCCCACUGCAGCCCAGUCCCUGUUUUCUCCCACUGCAGCCCAGACCCUGUUUUCUCCCACUGCAGCAGGCUGAUAAAGCUGGUGCUAGGCAGGUCAUGGGGACCAGUGGAGAGGACCAGGCUAGGGCAGGGCAUCACAGCAUUUCAGGGCUAUAGGCUUGCAGGAUGUUAUGCUUGGU
rnacentral:lncRNA from 1 species